rnacentral:rRNA from 1 species
CACGUAGGGGGCAAGCGUUGUCCGGAUUUAUUGGGCGUAAAGAGCUCGUAGGCGGCUUAGUAAGUCGGGUGUGAAACCUCCAGGCUCAACCUGGAGACGCCACCCGAUACUGCUGUGGCUAGAGUCCGGUAGGGGAGCGUGGAAUUCCUGGUGUAGCGGUGGAAUGCGCAGAUAUCAGGAGGAACACCGAUGGCGAAGGCAGGUCACUGGGCCACUACUGACGCUGAGGAGCGAAAGCAUGGGGAGCGAACAGG